UACGGAGGGGGCUAGCGUUGUUCGGAAUUACUGGGCGUAAAGCGUACGUAGGCGGCUUUGUAAGUUAGAGGUGAAAGCCCGGGGCUCAACUCCGGAAUUGCCUUUAAGACUGCAUCGCUAGAAUCAUGGAGAGGUGAGUGGAAUUCCGAGUGUAGAGGUGAAAUUCGUAGAUAUUCGGAAGAACACCAGUGGCGAAGGCGACUCACUGGACAUGUAUUGACGCUGAGGUACGAAAGCGUGGGGAGCAAACGGG
rnacentral:rRNA from 1 species